rnacentral:rRNA from 2 species
GUAUUGAUUGGUGCUUGCAUCAUGAUUUACAUUUGAGUGAGUGGCGAACUGGUGAGUAACACGUGGGAAACCUGCCCAGAAGCGGGGGAUAACACCUGGAAACAGAUGCUAAUACCGCAUAACAACUUGGACCGCAUGGUCCGAGUUUGAAAGAUGGCUUCGGCUAUCACUUUUGGAUGGUCCCGCGGCGUAUUAGCUAGAUGGUGGGGUAACGGCUCACCAUGGCAAUGAUACGUAGCCGACCUGAGAGGGUAAUCGGCCACAUUGGGACUGAGACACGGCCCAAACUCCUACGGGAGGCAGCAGUAGGGAAUCUUCCACAAUGGACGAAAGUCUGAUGGAGCAACGCCGCGUGAGUGAAGAAGGGUUUCGGCUCGUAAAACUCUGUUGUUAAAGAAGAACAUAUCUGAAAGUAACUGUUCAGGUAUUGACGGUAUUUAACCAGAAAGCCACGGCUAACUACGUGCCAGCAGCCGCGGUAAUACGUAGGUGGCAAGCGUUGUCCGGAUUUAUUGGGCGUAAAGCGAGCGCAGGCGGUUUUUUAAGUCUGAUGUGAAAGCCUUCGGCUCAACCGAAGAAGUGCAUCGGAAACUGGGAAACUUGAGUGCAGAAGAGGACAGUGGAACUCCAUGUGUAGCGGUGAAAUGCGUAGAUAUAUGGAAGAACACCAGUGGCGAAGGCGGCUGUCUGGUCUGUAACUGACGCUGAGGCUCGAAAGUAUGGGUAGCAAACAGGAUUAGAUACCCUGGUAGUCCAUACCGUAAACGAUGAAUGCUAAGUGUUGGAGGGUUUCCGCCCUUCAGUGCUGCAGCUAACGCAUUAAGCAUUCCGCCUGGGGAGUACGGCCGCAAGGCUGAAACUCAAAGGAAUUGACGGGGGCCCGCACAAGCGGUGGAGCAUGUGGUUUAAUUCGAAGCUACGCGAAGAACCUUACCAGGUCUUGACAUACUAUGCAAAUCUAAGAGAUUAGACGUUCCCUUCGGGGACAUGGAUACAGGUGGUGCAUGGUUGUCGUCAGCUCGUGUCGUGAGAUGUUGGGUUAAGUCCCGCAACGAGCGCAACCCUUAUUAUCAGUUGCCAGCAUUAAGUUGGGCACUCUGGUGAGACUGCCGGUGACAAACCGGAGGAAGGUGGGGAUGACGUCAAAUCAUCAUGCCCCUUAUGACCUGGGCUACACACGUGCUACAAUGGAUGGUACAACGAGUUGCGAACUCGCGAGAGUAAGCUAAUCUCUUAAAGCCAUUCUCAGUUCGGAUUGUAGGCUGCAACUCGCCUACAUGAAGUCGGAAUCGCUAGUAAUCGCGGAUCAGCAUGCCGCGGUGAAUACGUUCCCGGGCCUUGUACACACCGCCCGUCACACCAUGAGAGUUUGUAACACCCAAAGUCGGU